rnacentral:misc_RNA from 1 species
CUUCGUUCUUCCCUCCCACCCGACGUUCUCUCGGAUGCUCGGGUGGACCGGAUAGUGGGGCUCGUUUUCACGAACGUCGUUUUUGUUCGAUCGUUCGGAUGGACCACGAGUGCCUACUCGUUCUCUCGGAUGCGGAACUCUCAUAAUGGGAGGGGGGUCAUUGGCCCUUGUUCCCUAAUCGUUAAGCGUUUACCGCUUCACCUGAAUGACGAUCCUGCCUUGUCCUUGAUCGCGCUAAGUCCUCGGG